UCCAGGGGGGGGUGAGUGUGGUGUAAAUUAAAAAUAAAAUCAACAAAACAAAACGAAACGAAAAAAACAUCUGGACAUUUGAAAACCAAUAUCAAUAUCAGACAAUUAAAAUAGAAAUCAAGCGAUUACUAACAGCCAGUUCCACGAUAUCGAAAGAACACGUUCGCACAACUUUUACACGACAAACAGCUGAUUUCCGUUCCACUAAAAUCUAUCAGAACGAAAAUUUCGAACGAAAACGUAAGCAUUUCAGUGUAAUUUUGCGUUCCACUAUCUUUUUUCUUUCGUACGCAUGCGAACACAAAUGUCAAAAUCAGUCACUUGUGUGUUUGCUAUCGUAUAAUAACAAUUAAGGAAAAUUGUUUUAACAUAAACAUUGCUUGAUUGAAAAUGGAAACAAAAAUCACGAAAAAAUCAUCAACUACACAGCCGCGGGCACUAGUUGAGUGAAUGGAGGAGAAUCCUGUGUUCGCCAGAGGAAUGCCAAUUUUUGGAAGCAGCAGAAGAAGUUUUAAAUCGGGGCGGAUUUGGGUAGUUCUGCAACCGGGCACCCACUUCUCUUCCAUCAUAUCCAAAAGAGCCCGAAAACUUCCUUCGACACACGAAAGUUGGCCACAAACCUAGAAAAAAUCAUUUUUUAUUAUUUCAAAAAUGUAAAAAUACAAUCAUACUUACUGGUUGUUAGGUACUUCAAAUAAAUUCGAAGCAUCUCUUAAA